rnacentral:rRNA from 1 species
UACGUAGGGGGCAAGCGUUGUCGGGAUUUAUUGGGCGUAAAGAGCGUGUAGGCGGCCAGGUAGGUCUGCUGUGAAAACUCGAGGCUUAACCUCGAGCUGUCGGCGGAAACCAUCUGGCUAGAGUCCGGAAGAGGAGAAUGGAAUUCCCGGUGUAGCGGUGAAAUGCGCAGAUAUCGGGAAGAACACCCGUGGCGAAGGCGGUUCUCUGGGACGGUACUGACGCUGAGACGCGAAAGCGUGGGGAGCGAACAGG